ACAGAGCCAUGUUCUGUCUGCCCAGAUUCUCCCCUGAGCUGAAGGAGAAGCCAUGUUUGGAAAGUGAGAUUGCUCACUGCUCAAAGUCAAGGGCACUAGAUGAUCUCCAGGAACUGAGUCACCAGCUAUGGUCGCCUCCACUUCCAAGAUAAGGUUGUUCCUGUCAGCAGAGUGGCAACGCUUGCUUGGACCAGCCAGAACCUGCUCUUCAGCUUGGAAAGUGAUAAGACACACUGGCAUGUUUUUGUUCUCUUUUCCUAAAUUCCAAGCUGACUACAUUUGCACUGUUUUUCCAGUCAGAGGGCUAUGCAGUUUUCUUGGUUAUAAACUGAUUUGCAUAAGCAGCAGUUCACCUGAGCAGGCAUGUGGGUCAUCCUGUCUCUUAACCAGGCAUGAGCUACAUUGUUCCUGUCUCUUAACCAGGCAUGAGAUACAUUGUUCCUGUCUCUUAACCAGGCAUGAGAUACAUUGUUCCUGUCUCUUAACCAGGAUUAAUUUGUUCUGGCUGUGGAACUGGGGAAACACGUUAUCAGGAGCAGCUCUGCUGGAGAUGAAUUUCAUCCAUUCUAAACUGAUAUUUCUAGUUUCUGAGUGCGCUCAUGCCCAGGAUGCUGGAGAGGUGCAGCCUCUGUGGGAAUCCUGUCAUUUUCUGUACUUUUCAAUAGCUAACAUGAUUCAUCAUGGUGCUAUUA